AACCCCCUCAAGCUCUGCUUGGUGUUGGGCGUUUGUCCCGCCUUCUGGCACGGACUCGCCUCAAAAAUAUUGGCAGCCACCUCCUUGGCUUCGAGCGCAGCACCUUUGCGCCCGGUACUUGGGGGUCGUGGCUUCCCAAAAGCACUCCUUUC
rnacentral:misc_RNA from 1 species